GAUGAACGCUGGCGGCGUGCCUAAUACAUGCAAGUCGAGCGAACAGAUAAGGAGCUUGCUCCUUUGACGUUAGCGGCGGACGGGUGAGUAACACGUGGGUAACCUACCUAUAAGACUGGGAUAACUUCGGGAAACCGGAGCUAAUACCGGAUAACAUUUGGAACCGCAUGGUUCUAAAGUGAAAGAUGGUUUUGCUAUCACUUAUAGAUGGACCCGCGCCGUAUUAGCUAGUUGGUAAGGUAACGGCUUACCAAGGCGACGAUACGUAGCCGACCUGAGAGGGUGAUCGGCCACACUGGAACUGAGACACGGUCCAGACUCCUACGGGAGGCAGCAGUAGGGAAUCUUCCGCAAUGGGCGAAAGCCUGACGGAGCAACGCCGCGUGAGUGAUGAAGGGUCUCGGCUCGUAAAACUCUGUUAUUAGGGAAGAACAAACGUGUAAGUAACUGUGCACGUCUUGACGGUACCUAAUCAGAAAGCCACGGCUAACUACGUG
rnacentral:rRNA from 1 species